CAGCAGCCGCGGGAAUACGUAGGUGGCAAGCGUUGUCCGGAAUUAUUGGGCGUAAAGGGCUCGCAGGCGGUUUCUUAAGUCUGAUGUGAAAGCCCCCGGCUCAACCGGGGAGGGUCAUUGGAAACUGGGAAACUUGAGUGCAGAAGAGGAGAGUGGAAUUCCACGUGUAGCGGUGAAAUGCGUAGAGAUGUGGAGGAACACCAGUGGCGAAGGCGACUCCCUGGUCUGUAACUGACGCUGAGGAGCGAAAGCGUGGGGAGCGAACAGGAUUAGAUACCCGGGUAGUCCCUGUCUCUUAUAC
rnacentral:rRNA from 1 species